GAGGGUAUAGCUCAGUGGUAGAGUGUGUGCUUAGCAUGCACAAGGUCCUGGGUUCAAAACCCAGUACCUCCG
rnacentral:tRNA from 2 species